rnacentral:rRNA from 1 species
AGCUCCAAUAGCAUAUACCAAUUCUGUUGCUGUUAAAAAGCUCGUAGUUGGAUCUUUUCCGAGGGUGAGGUCUGUCUCACGGACAUGUACUUUAUCCCGAGGAUAUAUCAGCUGGUUUUCCUCUGGUGCCUUUAACAGGGUGCCUUGGGUGGCUAGCACGUUUACUUUGAAAAAAUUAGAGUGCUCAAAACAGGCGUUACUGCCCGAAUAGUGGUGCAUGGAAUAAUGGAAUAGGAUCUCGGUUCUAUUUUGUUGGUUUUAGGAGCGCGAGAUAAUGAUUAAGAGGGACGGACGGGGGCAUUCGUAUUGUGGCGUUAGAGGUGAAAUUCUUGGAUCGCCGCAAGACGAACAAUUGCGAAAGCAUUUGCCAAGAAUGUUUUCAUUAAUCAAGAACGAAAGU